CAAAAACAUGUCUUUUUGAUUAUAAUUUAAAGUCUAACCUGCCCAAUGAGGAGUUAAAUGGCCGCGGUAUUUUGACCGUGCAAAGGUAGCAUAAUCAUUAGUUUUUUAAUUGAAAGCUGGUAUGAAUGGUUGGACGAGAAAAUAACUGUCUCGGUUUAAAUUAAAUUAGAAUUUUAUUUAUGAGUAAAAAAGCUCAUAUGAGUUUAAAAGACGAGAAGACCCUAUAGAAUUUAAUAUAUGUAUAUAUAUAUUAUUUUUAGUAUUAAUAAUAAGUUAUAUAUAAUUAUAUUUUGUUGGGGUGAUGGAAAAAUUAAAUUAACUUUUUUUAUAUAAAAACAUUAAUGUAUGAAAAAAUGAUCCGUUAAUUACGAUUAUAAGAUUAAAUUACCUUAGGGAUAACAGCGUAAUUUUUUUUUAGAGUUUUUAUAGAAAAAAGAGUUUGCGACCUCGAUGUUGGAUUAAAAUUAACUUUUGGUGUAGGGGCU
rnacentral:rRNA from 1 species